CAUCUGAGCUUUUCAAGUAGCAGUUACAAGAUAGAUAAGAGAUGUGCCUACUUUCUUGAGGCUGUGGGUUAGCAUACGAAAUGUCCAAAAGCCUGCCAUGUCUUUUUGGUCAAAGCAAGUUACAUGGACAGUACAUUUUUGAAAGUUAAAGAAAUAGACUCCAACUUUUGAUGACAGUAAUUGCAAAAUUUAGUUAUAGACAGGUUUUUUUUUAAGUCGACUAUUUUUGCAACUUGUCAGAGUUUUCCUGUUCUCUUUUCUCUGUGUCGCUUAUCUAGUGGAUACGUGUAUCAAGAUGUAAUGAGAAAGACUUGUGUAUAAACCAGAGUCCCUCAAAUUGGAGCUAGAUAAACUGAAAGAUGAAGCUUUUCUCACCUUCCAGAUGACCAAAAGCAUCAACUCAAAGCAAAAACGCAGCAACAGCAACUCUUGGACUAGAUGUAAAGAGACUCCAAUCUCUGAAUACCAAGUACCUAAAACACGACGAGGUGCACUAAAAAGGGGUGGAAUGUGGGAUUACAUCCCUUCCUGAGUUAACACUUGGGUAAUGUGGUGAAGAGAUACCAAGAUGAUACUAGAGAUAAUUCUAACUAAUAAUAAUAAUUCAUAUCUAAGUCUAUGGCAAUCAAUACUCUAUAUAUAUAUAGUAGUUAAGAGUUUUCAUGGAAGGGAAGAGGAC
rnacentral:lncRNA from 1 species